rnacentral:sRNA from 1 species
AAGCGAGAGCGCCAAUGUAGGAGAGCGCCAUUUGGCCUUGAACUUGCGGACGCUCAAUCUUUUGUACCUGUUGUGUCGGCAAACUGAUGAAUGCGAGCUCCCCGAAGAAGUUACCUGAGGACAAUUUAUACGGAACACACAAUUAUAUAAAAUUAUAUACACACCUAUAUACAAGUAGAAUUUGCCGUUUUAACAAGCCGUCCACUUAAAAAACAAGCAUAAAGGAUUAUAUAUAGACAACCUAUAUAAAUAUGCACCACGUCUGCCACGUCAGGAAGAGCCACAGCAAUCCGCAGGGCAGCAACUAACGGAGUUCUCCCGCCAGCUGCCGGAAAUCCAGUAGCAAAUCCAGCAAAACUAGCGACCAAGCCAGC